rnacentral:rRNA from 1 species
UGAACUAGCCACCUGAACGAAAGGUGAAAAGAACCCCGGAAGGGGAGUGCCAAAGAAAUUGACACCGUGUGAUUACAAGUAGUCAGAGACCGUUAAUGGGUGAUGGCGUGCCUUUUGUAGAAUGAACCGGCGAGUUACGAUUUGAUGCAAGGUUAAGCAGUAAAUGUGGAGCCGUAGCGAAAGCGAGUCUGAAUAGGGCGUUUAGUAUUUGGUCGUAGACCCGAAACCAGGUGAUCUACCCUUGGUCAGGUUGAAGUUCAGGUAACACUGAAUGGAGGACCGAACCGACUUACGUUGAAAAGUGAGCGGAUGAACUGAGGGUAGCGGAGAAAUUCCAAUCGAACCUGGAGAUAGCUGGUUCUCUCCGAAAUAGCUUUAGGGCUAGCCUCAAGUGAUGAUUAUUGGAGGUAGAGCACUGUUUGG